AGCAGCCGCGGUAAUUCCAGCUCCAAUAGCGUAUAUUAAAGUUGUUGCAGUUAAAAAGCUCGUAGUUGAAUUUCGGGGUUAGUAGGUUGGUCAUGCCUCUGGUAUGUACUGGUCUCACUGAUUCCUCCUUCCUGAUGAGCUGUAAUGCCAUUAAUUUGGUGUUGCAGGGAAUCUGGACUGUUACUUUGAAAAAAUUAGAGUGUUUAAAGCAGGCUAACGCUUGAAUACAUUAGCAUGGAAUAAUGAAAUAGGACGUUCGAUCCUAUUUUGUUGGUUUCUAGGAUUGACGUAAUGAUUAAUAGGGAUAGUUGGGGGCAUUAGUAUUCAAUUGUCAGAGGUGAAAUUCUUGGAUUUAUUGAAGACUAACUACUGCGAAAGCAUUUGCCAAGGAUGUUUUCAUUAAUCAAGAACGAAAGUUAGGGGAGUCGAAGACGAUCAGAUACCGUCGUA
rnacentral:rRNA from 1 species